AGCACCAGCCUCCAAAGUAGGUUCU
rnacentral:miRNA from 1 species